GACAGAGGUGCCGAGCGUUAGGCGGAAUCACUGGGCUUAAAGCGUGUGUAGGCGGAUUCCUAAGUACCUUGUGAAAUCCCACGGCUUAACCGUGGAACUGCUUGGUAUACUGGGUGUCUUGAGCCAACUAGAGGCAGUCGGAACAAACGGUGGAGCGGUGAAAUGCGUAGAGACCCGGAGGAACACCAGUGGCGAAGGCGGCUCACUGGCCCGGUACUGACGCUGAGGUGCGAAAGCGUGGGGAGCAAACAGGG
rnacentral:rRNA from 1 species